rnacentral:rRNA from 1 species
UACGUAGGGUGCGAGCGUUGUUCGGAUUUACUGGGCGUAAAGGGCGCGUAGGCGGCCACCGCAAGUCGACUGUGAAAUCUCCGGGCUUAACCCGGAAAGGUCAGCCGAUACUGCGGGGCUAGAGUGCAGAAGGGGCAACUGGAAUUCCUGGUGUAGCAGUGAAAUGCGUAGAUAUCAGGAGGAACACCGAUGGCGAAGGCAGGUCUCUGGGCUGACACUGACGCUCAUGCACGAAAGCGUGGGGAGCAAACAGG